ensembl:lncRNA
GACUUGGAGCCUAAAAAAAAACAGUAAAAAAAAAAAGGAUCCUAAUUUAUUUCAAAUAAGUGCUUUAUAGUUUUCAAAACACUUUCAUAUCUAUCUUCCUAUUCAGCCCUCACAGGAACUGCAUGAAGUAGGUAAGAUUUAUCUUUCAGUUUUACAGGUUGGAAAAAAACAAGAGAAGCUCAGAGAGGCUUAGUAAUUUGCUCAAGUGGUGAAUUGCGGAGCCGGGUCACAAACCAGGUCUUCUGAAUCCUGCAUUGGCCCUCUUUACUGCUUCUUUAACUGUAUGGUCAGAUUUCAAAAAAUAUGUAUAAAAAGAAAUGAUCAUAGCCUGCUAUUUCCUACAUAUGUCAAGUAGACAAGAUCUAAACAAGAUCUCUCCUAUUAGAUACACCUACAAAAUUUAACUUACUGGUAAUUGGGGAGCGAGGUUUGGAAUUUGAGAAGAAUGCUAUAGCUAACAUUUAUUGUUGUUUAGCUGCUAAGUCGUGUUUGACUCUUUGUGACUCCAUGGACUGCAUCUUGCCAGGCUCCUCCGUCCAUGGCAUUUCCCAGGCAAGAAUACUGGAGUGGGUUGCCAUUUCCUUCUCCAAAACUACCCAAAAGCUGAUGGCUGCUUCCAGUCUGGCUCCACAUCUCGGGACCUGAGUCUUCGUGCCUUCCCUCUCCUCCACUGACUGCCCCCUCUUCUUCUGUCCUCGGCCUUGUUGACUCAUAGCCGCUCCUCCCUUCUGUGCCUCCAAGGUCAGGCUGCCGAAAUGCAGACAGUUCCCACCAUCUGCCCAGACACUUACCUUUGCUGCAAAGAGUGCUUCCUGGUGAGCUCAGUUUUCUUACAGAGAGUCGAAGCCAUUCAUACAUCCAACUACUAAUUAUUCAGCAGUGUAUUCGUCAAAAUCCCAGCAGGAAACAGAUGGCACACUCACACUGGGCAACUGAAAAGAGUUUAAUAAAGGGAUUAUUUGCAAAUAUGAGCAGGAGUUGAGGAAGCCAACAAAGGCUGAUGGAGUGCCCAGGGGCUUGCAACAAACAGGAGCAAUGUCCACCUAAAAGGACAAGAGAGUGGUUACAGAAACUCAGAGGCAGCAGUUUGAUAG